GUGCUCGCUUAGGCAUCACAUAUACCAAAACUGGAAGCAUUCAGAGAAGAUUAGCAUGGUCCUUGUGCAAAGCUGACAGAGUUCAGCAAAGCUGAGAAAAUAACAAAGUGU